rnacentral:rRNA from 1 species
AGAGUUUGAUCCUGGCUCAGAACGAACGCUGGCGGCGUGCUUCAUACAUGCAAGUCGAACGAGAAAAUUCCGCUUCGGUGGAAUGAGUAGAGUGGCAAACGGGUGAGUAACACGUGGGCAACCUGCUCUCAAAUUGGGGAUAACCUCGCCAACGCGGGGCUAAUACCGAAUGUUGUCCUAAUAUCGCAUGGUAUAAGGAUGAAAGCUUUUUUUUAAUAAGAAGGCGUUUGAGAAGGGGCCCGCGUCCUAUUAGCUUGUUGGUGAGGUAAUGGCUCACCAAGGCUGCGAUAGGUAGCCGGCCUGAGAGGGUGAUCGGCCACACUGGGACUGAGAUACGGCCCAGACUCCUACGGGAGGCAGCAGUAGGGAAUAUUGCGCAAUGGACGAAAGUCUGACGCAGCAACGCCGCGUGGGUGAUGAAGUUUUUCGGAACGUAAAACCCUGUCAGGAGGGAAGAAACUCUCGAUUUUUUCGGGACUGACGGUACCUCCAGAGGAAGCUCCGGCCAACUCCGUGCCAGCAGCCGCGGUAACACGGGGGGAGCAAGCGUUGUUCGGAUUUACUGGGCGUAAAGGGCGUGUAGGCGGAUGGGUCAGUCAGAUGUGAAAUUCCAGGGCUCAACUCUGGACCUGCAUUUGAUACUUCUCAUCUAGAGUAUGGGAGAGGAGAUCGGAAUUCCUGGUGUAGCGGUGAAAUGCGUAGAUAUCAGGAAGAACACCGGUGGCGAAGGCGGAUCUCUGGCCUAAUACUGACGCUGAUGCGCGAAAGCUGGGGGAGCAAACAGGAUUAGAUACCCUGGUAGUCCCAGCCGUAAACGAUGGGCACUAGGUGUUGGGGGUAUUGAUCCCCUCAGUGCCGGAGUUAACGCAUUAAGUGCCCCGCCUGGGGAGUACGCUCGCAAGGGUGAAACUCAAAGGAAUUGACGGGGGCCCGCACAAGCGGUGGAGCAUGUGGUUUAAUUCGAUGCAACGCGAAGAACCUCACCGGGGUUUGACAUGCCCGUCAUACCUUGAUGAAAGUCAAGGGUCAGUUCGGCUGGACGGUGCACAGGUGCUGCAUGGCUGUCGUCAGCUCGUGUCGUGAGAUGUUGGGUUAAGUCCCGCAACGAGCGCAACCCUUACCCUUAGUUGCCAGCACGUAAUGGUGGGAACUCUAAGGGGACUGCCUCGGAUAACGGGGAGGAAGGUGGGGAUGACGUCAAGUCCUCAUGGCCCUUAUGCCCGGGCUACACACGUGCUACAAUGGUCGGUACAGAGGGCUGCGAAACCGCGAGGUGGAGCUAAUCCCAGAAAGCCGAUCUCAGUUCGGAUUGGAGUCUGCAACUCGACUCCAUGAAGUCGGAAUCGCUAGUAAUCGCGAAUCAGCAGGUCGCGGUGAAUACG